GCCUCGGUGGUGUAGUGGUAGAGCAAGCGUCUCCGGAUAAGAUAAAACGCAGGUUCGAUUUCCGCCUGAGGCC